rnacentral:rRNA from 1 species
GACGAACGCUGGCGGCGUGCUUAACACAUGCAAGUCGAACGAAGUGGCUAACUGGUGAGUAACGCGUAAUCAACCUGCCCUUCAGAGGGGGACAACAGGUGGCAACGACUGCUAAUACCGCAUACUGAAGGAGGGGAUUGCGUCUGAUUAGCUAGUUGGCGGGGUAACGGCCCACCAAGGCGAUGAUCAGUAGCCGGUCUGAGAGGAUGAACGGCCACAUUGGGACUGAGACGCGGCCCAGACUCCUACGGGAGGCAGCAGGGGGGAAUCUUCCGCAAUGGACGAAAGUCUGACGGAGCAACGCCGCGUGAGUGAUGACGGCCUUCGGGUUGUAAAGCUCUGUUAAUCGGGACGCGGUACCGGAAUAGAAAGCCACGGCUAACUACGUGCCAGCAGCCGCGGUAAUAC